UGUUUGGUGUGUUCCAUACGAUCGGCCGUCUUUAAUGUCGUCACCAUUCUUUUCAGACGAUUCAACGUGUGUAAUCGGCCAGUACCCAGUUGUUCAGUCGGACCAAUCUGAUUGGUGGAGCAAUAGCCCUUGACUAGCAAAUCAGUGAACAAGAAGACCAGAAUCUUUCUUCUUUCAUAAGAAGAAGCCCGACAGCUGACAAUGCCAGUAUCUUUUUAUUCCUUUCUAU